AUUGAACGCUGGCGGCAGGCUUAACACAUGCAAGUCGAACGAGUGGCGGACGGGUGAGUUAUGCUUGGGAAUCUAGCUUAUGGAGGGGGAUAACUACGGGGAACUGUAGCUAAUACCGCGUACCAUAGGCUGAGCCCAAGUGGGAUUAGGUAGUUGGUGAGGUAAAGGCGCACCAAGCCGACGAUCCCUAGCUGGUCUGAGAGGAUGACCAGCCACACUGGAACUGAGACACGGUCCAGACUCCUACGGGAGGCAGCAGUGGGGAAUAUUGCACAAUGGGCGCAAGCCUGAUGCAGCCAGGCCGCGUGUGUGAAGAAGGCCUUCGGGUUGUAAAGCACUUUCAGCGAGGAGACGUUACUCGCAGAAGAAGCACCGGCUAACUCCGUGCCAGCAGCCGCGGUAAUAC
rnacentral:rRNA from 1 species